GAUGAACGCUGGCGGCGUGCCUAAUACAUGCAAGUCGAGCGAACAGACGAGGAGCUUGCUCCUCUGACGUUAGCGGCGGACGGGUGAGUAACACGUGGAUAACCUACCUAUAAGACUGGGAUAACUUCGGGAAACCGGAGCUAAUACCGGAUAAUAUAUUGAACCGCAUGGUUCAAUAGUGAAAUACGGUUUUGCUGUCACUUAUAGAUGGAUCCGCGCCGCAUUAGCUAGUUGGUAAGGUAACGGCUUACCAAGGCAACGAUGCGUAGCCGACCUGAGAGGGUGAUCGGCCACACUGGAACUGAGACACGGUCCAGACUCCUACGGGAGGCAGCAGUAGGGAAUCUUCCGCAAUGGGCGAAAGCUUGACGGAGCAACGCCGAGUGAGUGAUGAAGGUCUUCGGAUCGUAAAACUCUGUUAUUAGGGAAGAACAAAUGUGUAAGUAACUAUGCACGUCUUGACGGUACCUAAUCAGAAAGCCACGGCUAACUACGUG
rnacentral:rRNA from 1 species